rnacentral:tRNA from 1 species
GGAUGUCGUCCAAUGGUUAGGGCCCCAGCCUUCCAAGCUGGCGAUGCGGGUUCGAUUCCCGUCAUCCG